AAAAAUCAAAAUAUUAUCCAUAAAUAAUAUAAAUUAUGAAGUACAUUUCUCGAUAAAGAAAGCAAAUUCAAUUAGAAACCUUAUAUUAAAAUUAUGUACCGUGACUACUGAAUAUUCUGAAAAAUUUGUUUGUAGACAACAUUCUAUGUUUUUGUCUGCGGCUUCCCUUCUUUAUCAGUUAUUAGGAUUUUUGAUCCAAAUAUCGACUUAACUCUUGAAAGUGCAACUUUGCCUUGCAUUUUGUAAGCAUUUUAUAAAUUAUUUUAAAAUUAUGAUAAAUUUAUUCUUUAAACAAUGAUAAAUAAUUUAAAAUAAUAUUAAUAAACAUUUUUGGAUUUUGAAAUAUUU